rnacentral:rRNA from 1 species
UACGGAGGGUGCAAGCGUUAAUCGGAAUUACUGGGCGUAAAGCGUGCGUAGGCGGCUUGUUAAGUCAGAUGUGAAAGCCCCGGGCUCAACCUGGGAACUGCAUUUGAAACUGGCAAGCUAGAGUUGAGUAGAGGGGAGUGGAAUUUCAGGUGUAGCGGUGAAAUGCGUAGAUAUCUGAAGGAACACCAGUGGCGAAGGCGACUCCCUGGACUCAAACUGACGCUGAGGCACGAAAGCGUGGGUAGCAAACAGG